rnacentral:lncRNA from 1 species
AACACUGCAGAACGUGCAGCACGAUCCAUUUGCGUACACGCGCUCACUGUGGGGGUUCAAACUCCGGAUGGGCUCCUACAGCCCAAGCGCCAUAUCAUACAAUGCCAAUAGUUACCAUUGUUUCCGUGAGAAUAUAUGGUGCCAAUAGUUACCACCGUUCCAAUAACAAUAUACAGUCCAGAAAAUAAUGAGAUAGUAAUCGUCAGCCCGAAAAAUCAUUUAAGGAUCAUUUAAGUUUCCAAAAACGUAUAAAUAUGGCUGAGUUUGCAAACAAAGAUGUGUUUAAUACCCUGAACUAAAUUCAAAUAAUAUGCAAAUCAUGAUAAUCUUGAAAUAACGAUCCCUGAAGGAUUAUACAAGUCGGCACAAGGCCCCAAAUAUGGCAUUAAGCCCAUAUAGCAUCAAUAUAGUAUGCGAAGCAAUCGCCAACAUAGCAUAAUUUAUCCCUCGGAUUGGACCGAGGUAUAAUUUGCACAUAUACGACCCCGUACUAACCAUGGAGUGCGUGUCUAUCCUCAAAAUAGCGUAACAAUGUGAUACACCGGGGUUUCGAACCCUCGGGUCAUCAUCUACACCCAUUACUCACCUCAACCCGGCCGCCAACUAGCUCGAAAUGCCUUUCCCUCGAGAAUUAAUCUCCGCGAAUGCCAAAUCUGAUCAAAACCAAUAGGAAUACGUCAAAAUAG